GCCGUCUCAACGGGGUGCGGAAGACAGUUUCCGCUGAGAGCAAACCCGUCGAACCUGAACCGGCUAAUACCGGCGGAGGGAUUUGAGCAUCGCCAACGG
rnacentral:ncRNA from 2 species